GCCUUCGAGGUGCAGUAGUUAGCACACUCGUCGUCUGCUCGAGAGGUCUGUGGUUCGAGUCCCUGUGAGGGCG
rnacentral:tRNA from 1 species